UCUUUGAAUAAUGAGCAAAAGAGGCUCGCUCAGGAGAAGACUGUAGUAAAAGAAAAGUAUAAAUAAUUAAGAAAUGUUGUCUUGUAUGGUUGAUUAAUUCGGCUUACCCCAACAUCAAUUGGUUCGACUGAGAUAAGGGAUUGCCCAGUAGCCGAAGACGGUGUAAUAGUUUCUUGCGUUGGAAGGUCAGCCGAAGGAACGUCUUCGGUUUUGUCUUUAGCGGUUUCAGCCGAAGGGGUAUCUUCGGCUUGUUGAAAUUUUCUUUUGGCCACUGAUUUGCGCCGUUUUGAGGACGGCGGAGGAGCAACCUGAACGACUUCGAUCGGUCUUUUGCCUGAAGUUGAGACUGAUGGAGAAACAGGAACUGACUGAAAAUAUAAACAAACAAUAGUGAUGAAUAAAGAAAAGACGAUGAUUAAGAUGAGUAAGGAAGUGAUAUUUACAGAGGAAGGAGGCGAGGAUUCAGCAGCUUCUUCUGACUUUUCUUCAGAUACAGAUGUUUCAGCAGGACUAUCCGACCGGGUCUUGCUUGGAAAGGGGACUGCGAGUGAGAAGCAGAUAAGUAAAAUAAUGAAGAUUGAAGAGUAAGAGUUAAUAACAUACCAAUGGGAUGACGAGUUUUGUAAUGUGCAGCCGAAACAACGGGAGGAAAGGUUUCUCGGAGAAAGGAAUCCCAAUUAGCAUUGUAGCGGAAACCCAUUAUACCGGAUAAAUUCGGUUUAAAACUAGUCAAUUUGAAAAAUCGCCGGAGACGAUUUCCCAUGGCUGAAAUCCGAUCGGCGUCGGCUGUUGUAAGGAAGUGAAAUCUCGAAAUGCGAGGAUUGUAUUUCAUCCAGGAUCGACUAAUUGUCGAAAGUAUACCCUUUGUGGGAGUUGAGAAUGUCCCAAACACAGAAAGUGCUUUGGAGUUGAGUCCGCGAGAGCAAAUGAUGCAAACUGCAUCAUUGGGCUAAGAUUACUCUCGGGGACCGGUCUCUGGAGGUGAGAGACCGGUUCCCCUGGCUGGGUGUAGCGGGGCUGCGUGAUGCAACCGGUCCCUGGCAGGGAGGGACCGAUUCCCGAACGUGGUCCCAGCGAGAAGUGCCAAAAAUUGGCUAAGUCCUGAAAAUCGAGCUCUCGGGGACCGGUCUCUCAGGCGAAGACCGGUCUCCCGAGGACCGGUCUCCCGGGGAGAGACCGGUUCCCGAACGCGUGCGCCCGAGGGAAGCUCUCGGGGACCGGUCCCAAGUCGGGGAGACCGGUCCCUCCGCGCGAAAACUGCCCAGUGAGGGCAGUGCACAGGAGUGAAAGUUGAGGGGCUUUUAUGCAAAAUGGCUUUUAUUUGAGUGGGCUGAGCCCUCUCUCUCCCUCACACUCUCUCUUUUCACUCUCUCUCACUCUCUUGCUCUCUUGCUCUCUCUCUCUCUAGAGAUAACAAAGAAGGAGAAGAAGAAAGAGAAGAAGAAGAAGGAGGAGAAGAAGAAGAAGAAGGAGGAGAAGAAGAAGGAGGCUAGGAGCAUCUUCCUCUCCCUCUCCUCUUCCCAUUGGUGUAGCUCAAGAGGUAAGCUACAAACCCUAGCUCCUAGAACUUAGGGUUUUUGGGUUUUAUGCUUUGGAAUGGGUCAAAUGAACCCUAAGCUAGCUUCUAAAUAGAUCAAUCCCAAGAAUCUAGGGAUUUAUUGGGUGGUUUGCUAUAGGUGCAAACCUAGGGCUCCAAAAUGGGGUUUUUGUAAAAGUAUGAGAUUGAUCUCAUUUGAAGCCUUGGAAACCCUAUUGAUAGGUCCCAAAACGCGGGGGCGAAGUCGAUUUUGGCAUUCGGCGAACCGACGUGAAGUUCUCGGCAAAAUCGGGCCGGGCUAGUGUUGAUUCGGGCGAGGAAGGCUAAAGCCUUUUCGUAGAGCUCGCCGAGAAGGAUUUUCCAAGCCUCUACAUCGAUUAAAGGUGGGGGGUGUCAUCCGAAACUUUCGAACUCCUUUCUAUGUCUUAGAUUGCAUUUAAUCUCAUCUCUUUAUGUGCAUUGUAGGAUUGCAUAGUAGUUCCAUUCCUUAUGCUUUCUAAUUGAUAACCUAGUGUACUUGGAACGCUUGGUAAUUUAGAUAGGUGAGGAUUGGGUAGAGACGUGAAUCCUAUGGUGCGAAUGAAAAGAGAUGAACCCGAUGGGGUUAUUGAUGACAUAGAAAGUAAUGUUAUUGUUAAAGAACAAACGAGUGACAUCCAAAUAUUGAAUGAUAACGAGUGGCAUUAAUGUAGUGUAAAUAACACUAGAGGUCGAUGGACCUAGGGAUAGGUAGAUCCCUUAGAAAAUGCCUUGUGAACAAUGAAUUUAGAAAGCUAAAUAGCAUUGUAUGAAUGUCGGGAACCGACGAUUCCGCGAUAGUCGCUGACCCUAGUGUAGGGCGUCCUCACAUGGAGAGGUUGUAGAUGAGUUAUUGAGAUAUUGACCCUAGUUGUAGGGCAUCCUCACUUGGAGAGGGUAGAUCUAGCUCACAGUCUGCGUUUGGGAUGGUAUAGCCAUCCAAUCCCCAUAUGGAAGGGAUUGUCGUCGAGUACUUCGGAGUGUCGCGCGACUAGGACCACUUGGAGGUUCGGACCACAUGGAGGUCCGCAGACGGUCUCGGGCUUGGGUGCACUUGGAGCCCCCUCCCCACUUUGGGAUUGUAAGGUGAGUCAUGGGCAAGCCCUAGGGCCUCGCCAUAGAUUGGGUAAAUGGAAAUGUUACUAUUGUCAUUGAACAUUGCUAUUCGAACAUGGAUCGAAUUUGUUAACAUGGUAGCAAACCUUCAUUAUAUGAUGCAUGCAUUCAUAUUUAUGAUUAUGGGCAUAGUAGCAUAGUUUUUCCUACUACUGCAUUUACAGCUUUCAGAUACAUAUCUAUCUAUCUAUCUAUCUGUUGUUACUUGUGCCCACUUGGACCUAGUGGGGAGAUCGGCAGAGUCGGCAGCUGAGCCCACUGGGAACUAUGGAAGAUAGUUCUCACCCCACUCCAUUUCCAGUGGUAGGUUCAGAGCUGCAGAGAGAGGACCGCGGCAAGGGCGUCGCGCCCGACCAGUGAGGCCGUGGUAGUAUAGUAGCUUUCCCUUUUGCAUUAGUCAUCUAUGUAUAGAGAGAGAUUUAUUGUAGGUGAGGAUUUGGAGAGCUAUGUAUUUUGGAUGAAAAAUGAUGUAAAGAAUGCAACUGUUGUAAUAGUUAGUAAAGUACUCUCUUUAUUUCACUCGUAUAUCUUGUGGAUUACCUGCUCUUCUUGUUGUUGGCACUAUUUGUGCCCUCGUUGAAUGUGUAUGUUUAGAAUUUAAAGUCCUGGGUAAAUUCUUGUACACAUUCCAGUCGUUGAGCCUUGGGCAGACAAGGGAGGUGCUGUCCGUUCGGCGGUCCGUCGCCGCGGCCGAAUCGUGCCAAAUUGGUAGUGGUUUCGGGGCGGGGCGUGACAGCUGUGCUUUUGGUAGGCGGGCGAUGAACGGCAGUAUUUGCCGUAAAAAAUUUUGCCGAAGCAGGAAUGGCUUGGGUAAAUCCAAAUUGACGUGCCACGAACUGUGGGGAGUAAACCUUGAUGCUUGGCAACAGUUUCGAGCGUGUUUUUAGGCCAACAUGUAGAUCCCGAAGGGCCAAAAAAGAAUACCAAACAUCAAAAUAUUCACUAGCACGAGAGGAAGCAAUUUCACAUUGAAGGGACUCAUAUCUGGCCAAAAACCAAGGAGGGCCAGUGAGUCUGUCAGCAAAAGGAGACCAAAAAACAAGAAGAUGAGGACUGGAAUCAUAAAAAACAGAGAAAUAAGUAAGGAAAUCAAGAGGAUGUCCCGAUGUCAAUGGUGGAGGACAACCAAGAGCAAGCCCAUAGGAGUCAAAAUGGGCAACUGAAUCUAUGUUUAGAGGUUCUUUACACAAUUUUCGAAAUAAAUUUGCAAAAACAUUUGCAAAAACCAGAAGACUCCGCAGCCUGAGCUAAUGGUUACACCAUCCUCGGAGGGUGACGGCUUAACGGAAUCAAAAAUCUCUCUAUAGACAAAAGCAAGGAAAUAUGGCCCCAAGGCCAAUUUAUCGCCGUUAGCUAAACCAACGGCGAUUAGAACAAAAUCUCGAUUGAUUUUCUGCGAACGAGUAUAGAAAAGAUUAUGACACAACCAAUAUAAGAGGAACGCUGUGUGCUCUCUUCUGGUGACCGGAGUAGAAGGUUCACCAACAAAUUUCUUAAGAAAUUUAGAGUAGGCCAAAUCAUUGAGAUCAAGGUGGGCCUCAAAAUCAGACACGCCAUCAGGAUUGUAGGCCAUGGAGAGAGUAAUGCCAUGGGGGCGUAAACCUACGAUGGCGGCAACAUCUAAAAUAGUUGGGGUAAGAGGGCCUCCUCUGAAAAGAAAAAUGUUGGAGGCAGGGGGCCAAAAACAGAGAGCUGAGGCUAAUAGAAGGUGAUCAGCCACAGGAGGUUUUUUAGAUAAUUUGAUGGCUUCGAAAAUUCCGAUCUCUUUCCAAAAGUCACCAUAAGCAGAUUCGAUUCGAGCCAGCCAAGACAAAUAUGCAUCUGAAGUACUCGGCCAAGUCCUAAGACUUCUUCCUGUCGAUGCCGAGGGGUUCCAAGGAUACAGAUGAAUAGUAUUAGCCAGUAACGGAAGACCUUCACUGGAAAAAGGGAAGUCCUCAGGAUUUGGAUCCUGAGUAAAAGAAGGCCCCAAAAUGAGCUGAGUAGGGUCCGAAGGAAGAUAUGGUUUGAGCAAAGUAUAAUCCAGCGAAGGACGAGUAGGCAAUGGUGGAAGAAGCGCCAUUAUUGGAAGCGAAAAAUAUACGAAGAAGAACGUAAAAGACAAAGAGGAGAAGAAGAAGAAAAGAUAUAAGAGACAAAAAGAAACUUAGGAAGGAAGAAAAAGCCACCCGUCACACCAGUUAUGAGUUCCGAGGUCGGCUAUAAUGAUGAAUAGACGGCGGUAAUUAAGAUGACCUAAUUAAUGCCGCAAAAUUGAGAAUGUGAUCAAGGCCGUAGAGAAGAGAAUCAACGGCCAAAGUUAAAACCGUACAAAAGAUUGUGUCACAAAUCGUUGCAGAUCUCGAUUAUACCGAGAAACAUGCCUCGGAUCAAGCUUGCUUUCGGCAAUAGGAAGUUGAAGAUGGCGCCAGCUACCAAAGCGUCGCUUCGAAAGCUGCCGAGGGGGCAAUUGUUGGACCAAUCAGGCACGGACAGUUGGCACACCGAGUUCAUAUCCAUAUUCAGGAUUCGAAAAGCUGGACCGGGAGCACGGAAGAAAUGCACCAGGAGAUAUGAGCCGCGUUUGUUCAAAAACGUGGCAACCGUAAUCGGUUAUGAGCGGUUCCCAACGGCGGUUCUAAUCGGCCGAACGUGGUCCUCCAAAUCCGGAGAAGAUGGCCGAUCGUGCAAAAACAACAAAUGAACGCAAGGGCAAAUCUAUAAAUAGGCCUGUAGUACCCUGAAAACGGGUCUUCGCCCCUGCGCACAAAAGACCACCUUUAUUUUCCUGCAUCUUUCUUUCCUUCAUUUAUCGCUUUUCUUAGGAGUAGUUCCUGUAACGUAGCUUCCUUGGAGUCUGUCUGCCCUCUGGGCAUCACUUCAUUGUAAACAUCUCGGAGUCUGUCUGCCCUCCGGGCAUCACUCCCUUGUACACCUCGGAGUCUGUCUGCCCUCCGGGCAUCACUCCCUUUUUAUUGAUAGAAAGUCGUUUUCGGCUCCUCAGGCCGACUAGAUCUCGUUUUGUCCUAGCCAUUCGGUUCAUCUCUCAGCCGAGAUAUAGGCCUCCCCUGUUCAUUCGGUUCAUCCUGCUGAAGCGAAUUUACCGCAGAGUUUUUCGGACCCGACUGAUUCGAUCCCUCAUCGGCCGAAUCGCUUGACUCGUCGUGGGCGCAAACUUCGAGGGUCACUAUCAGCAGCCGAUUUCCACCCGGCACACUUCCCGAGGAGGAUAUUAGACGGGGUCAACGGUCGGGACUUUCGGCUACCAACACAAUGGUACUUAUUAACGAGAUUUGGGAUUUAAAAAAAUAUUUUGGAAAUAAUGAAAUAAAUUUAAAAAUUUUGAAUAGUAUUGCCGGGUAUGGAAGGGAAAAGUCCUUCUAAAAUAUAGAAGUUGAGAAAUAUAUUUUUGAAUUAGAUUUUUUUUUUAAAAAAAUUGUUAUUAAUUCUUGAUAUCUUUUUUUUUUUUUUUUGAAGUAGGUAAAAUCAGUGACAAAGUUAAAACUAAAGAGUACUAAAAUAAAUAUUCGAUAAAUCUAGAUAGAAUAUUUGAAGUUUUUUGUACAUAAUUUAACGAAAUAUUAAACCACAUGAUACUAAAAUAAAAAAAAAGCGAUACCACAGAGUACUAACUUGAUACACUUUAAACCACAGAGUACUAAAAUGAGAAAGUGCGAAACCACAGGGUACUAACUUGAUACACUUUAAACCACAGGGUACUAAAGUGAAAAAGUGCGAAACCACAGGGGGGUAUUUGAAGUUUUCCCUUUUAAAAAUCUAUUUAACACUAAAUUAAUUAUAAUUUAAUUUUAAUUUACGUUUGUUUAAAUUUUAUGUUAUUAUUUAGUUUAUUUUGGUGUUAUUUUCAAAUUAUUUACUAAAAAUAUAUAGCAAUCAAAUAUUAUUUAACUAAUGUGCCGUUUAAAAAAUAUAUAAAUUUAGAAUAUAUAUGAAUAAAUGAUAAAUAUAAUAAAGACAUUACUAAAUUUAACAUUCUAUGCCUGUAAAUAGAUUAAAGAAUCAUAUAAUAGACUAAUUUAUAUUUUCAUGUCAUUCAUAAUAAGUCUUCAUAAUUUAACUAUAUAUCACUAUAUUCAUCCUUGUAAGUUUUCUUCUAUGUUCAGUGUCACCAACAUAUCAAAUAAGCUCAUAUGUCAAGAUAACUUAGUGUUCUACUUGUUUAUGAAAAAUAUAACAACAAUAACAUGGUAUGAUAAAAGAAGACGACAUAUAUCUGCAUACUAAGCUAUGUAUCCAUUAUCUAUCUUACAGUUGUAGAAUCCCCAACCCAUGCUUCAUGCAUAGAUUCUCAUAGGUUUAAUCCACUCUUACGCAAGAAAACACGAAACUUAUGUUACAAGUAAGGAAAUGAAAGCUCUCUAGAUAAAGACAAAUCAAAUAUAUUUCGAUGAUAUUUCCUUGGCUUGCUAAAACCCUCUUGAAAACAUCCCGCCAGCUCUUGAGAAUCCCGGAUUAUAGCUUUCAACGCUCUUGGUUGAGCAUCCGAAAGUCUAUUCGGAUGCCUGAUUAAGCAUCUGAUAGCGGUUUUGGAGGCCCAAAGGGCAAUCUGAUUGCUCGAAUAUUUAACAAACCUAAUAACUGUUCCACUCGAAUAAAGCAUCUAGGCGUAGAACCGGACAUGCACCCAUAAGAAUAAUUCGGAAGUUUUUGGACGCUGACAUGGAGAACAUUGGAUGGUGAUGUUUUGAGCGGUCCUUCAAAAUUUUAAAAAUAUUUAAAUAUAUGUCUCGUGGACCAAAAUAUGUUUAUUGAUCUAUAAAUAUUUCUUUAAAUAUUCUUGUAAUACGAUGGUAGUUAUUAAUGAGAUUUGGGAUUUACAAAAAAUAUUUUGUAAAUAAAGAAAUACAUUUAAAAAUUUCGAAUAAUAUUGCUGGGUAUAUAAGGGAAAAGUCCUUCUAAAAUAUAGAAGUUGAGAAAUAUACUUUUGAAUAAGAUUUUUUUAAAAAAAAUUUGUUAUUAAUCAUGGUAGAUAUCAUGAGGAGGAAUUAGUAGUAGGAGUCGGUGUGCCCCCUCAUGGACAAAAAUUUUAUGGACGGUGUGUCCCUAAAGGGUCAUUUGAGGACACGCCGGAUUGGCGCCGUGAAUCUCGCUGCUCUUUUGUUUGGGAGAGCAUGGGACAUUUUUGGUGCACCUGGUGCACCAUUUUUUCUAAAAUUUUAUUUUUUAUUUUUUUAAUUAUAAUUUAAUAUAAUAGAGAUAUAUACUAUGAUAUUCAAAACAUAUGUGUAAAAGAAUUUUGAAUCCUGAAUUCUAAAUUCUUUUACGUAUAUUUUUAAAAUAUUAUUAUAUAUCUAUAUUAUAUGUAAAUUAUAAUUUAAAAAUAAAAAUAAAACUUUCAAAGUAAAAAUUGUGCACCGGGUGCACCAAAAAAAUCCUGCUACUCCCCUUGUUAGGUGAGCAACAUGGCGCCCAUCCGGAAGCUGGUCGAUACACGUGGCGUCCAUCUAGGGAUCCCCAAAUUAAUUUUUGCUCCCCUCAUAUUGUCCUAUCCGCGGAAAGAUCUUUUCUCUGAUUGAUCUCAUUUCGUUUGGAUCACGUUUAUCUCGCUCAUUGUACGACUCUUAAUAUAUAUAUAUAUAUAUAUAUAUAGUAUAUAUAUUAUUAUUAUGUGGUUGUACUUGUAGUCCCUUAUCACCUAUAACCAGUGAAAGACCCGCGCGGUGCUGCGAAUAUAAAAAUAUUUUAAAUAUAAAAUUUUGUUUAUAUUUAUAAUAUUUUUAUAUAGUUUUAAAGUCUAAUUAUUGAUUAAGUAAAAGUUUAUUAAAAAUAAUUUAAUAAUUAAAUAUUUAAAGAAAAAAAAUUAAAACUGGUAUAUGUGUCACAUAAAUUUCUAUAACAGUUUAUUAAUAAUUAAAUUAUUUUGUAAAGAUUUAUGUGAAAAAGAUUUGAAAUAAAUCUAUUCAAAUAAUUUAAAUAAAUCAAUAAAUAAAAGAAAAAUAAAUAGUAGAAGAAAUUAUUUAUAAAACUAUAUUAUAUAUAUAUACACAGAGACACACAUUAUGUUUAUAAUUGUUAUAUCCAGAAAUUUAAAUUUUGUAUUUUUCAUAUUUCCACAUUUUUCAUGAUUUAGAUUGUAUCUACCAGAAUGGAUUUUAUUACGCAAUUUAUUAUGUGUAUUAUUAAUACAAUUAGUUAAUUAUAUAGGUUUAAGCAUUUAAAUUUUGAAGUUUGAAAUUUAGAAAUAAAUAUUAUAAAAUUAAAAUCAGGAGCUUAAAAUUUGAAAUAUAUAAACUUUAAAAUUUUAAUAUCUAAAAUUUUAAAUUUAAAAUUUGGAACUUAAAUUAUAUAAUAUAUAUAAUAUUUAUAUAUAUAUAUAUAUAUUAUAUAUAAUAUUAUAUAUAUCGUGUUGUGUGUGUGUGUCAGUGUGUGUAAACGGAGAGAGGAAGAGGGUUGGGGAGACAGGUGUCACUCUAAUAAUGUCCCCCCAAACCCUCCUUUAAUGUAGUUAGAUAGAUUAUUUUUUUUAUUUUAUAUGGAACUAUCGGGUGCCAGAAUAAUUACAGUAUGAUUAUCUGCGACGUUCUUAAAAUUUAAAAUAAUUCUAUAUAUAAGGUAUAGUAAUGUAAAUUUUUUUUAAAAAACAAUUUAAGUACUACCCAUAUAGUUUCGCACUUUUUCAGUUUAAUAUCAUGUAGUUUAAAGUAUAUUAAUUUAGUAUCCUGCGGUUUUGUUUUUCUUUUUUUAUUAUCCAUUCCACUAAUUAUUUUCCAUUAAAUUACUGACAAAAUUAAAACGAAAAGAUACUAGAGCGUGAAUAUUCGAUAAACUAAGAUGGGUAUCUAAGGUUUUAUAUAUAAUUUAACAAAAUAUAAAUUGAGGAGCUAACAAAAAGAGAAAAAUAAAACCACAGGGUGCUAACUUAAUACAUUUUAAACCAUAGGAUACUAAAGUGAAAAAAUGUGAAACCACACAGGUAGUAUUUGAAAUUUGCCCAUUUUUUAAGCCAACUAUAGUAUUUUGAGCGGUUAAGAGGGUUAAACGAGUCAAAAGAUAACGAGUAGUUUUAGGAUAAGUGACCUUUCUAAAGAGCGGCACAUUACAGAUGGUAUUGAAGCCAAUCACUAGUCAGAAGUAUGAGAUAAGUCUUAACUGAGUCGAGGUUACACAGCUUGCAAGAGCACGGCUCUCUGGCUGACAACAGUAUUGGGAGGACUUUGACUCUCCACAAGAUUGGUUAAGACUAGCAAAAUAAAUCUCACAUCGUCCGAUACUUGUUAAUGUCGCUUUAUAAAGAAGUUAAGCUUUAAAGGAGAAGGAAAUAUGACAACUCUAAAAUUUAGAAUAGUCAUAGUAAAGUUAAACCUCUUAGCUUAGCUAUAAUAUUGGACUGGCUAGACUCAAGGGGUUAAAGAGAGUUAUGCGAGUCUCACGUGUUUGAAUAGGUGAUUCAACUGGUACAUUAUUGAAUUGGUCCCGUACGUUAUGUUUGGAUCGGUCGGUGAUGUUGCCUGAAUUAAUUUUGUGUACAUGAUCAUUUUUAUCACAUGGACACAGUCAUCUUCGGCCUCUACAAAUAGCACCUCUCUUUUCCAUCACCCAGCAUUCAAGUUCAAGUUUCACUACUCAAGUUAAUUACAAAUGGUGAGGUCCUACUACUAUUGGGGGCUUGAGACUAUAGAUGAUUAUUUAUCACGAUGUUAUCGCUCUCAAUUUAAACAUUAUAUAUUUCUGUAGCUUUUUAUAUGGAUAAUUAGAAAGAUAAGAGCGUACAUAUUUGUCGCAGUAGCUGUUGAUCAUUUUUUGAUGUGCGGAAGUGGUAUUUGAAGAAGCUAUAUAUGAAGUUUUUUUUUUUGGCACAAUAAUAUUUAGAUAUUUCUUUCUUUGCGUUUAUAUGUAGUCCGGACUUGUCAAGCUUGGACUGUGGGGUGGAAAUGGGGGAAAUCCUUGUGAUAUCGAUGGUCGUUCUACACGCCUAGCGAAGAUUGUCAUUCGUAGCGCCGAUUCGAUCAAUGCACUUGGAUUUGAGUAUGUUCAGGAUGGAAUGACAUUAACGGCUGGCCCAUGGGGUGGUUCUGGAGGGGGCACCUCCACGGUAUGAUUUUCGAUUUUUAAACAUUUUUGAGUAAAAUAGCGGAGGAUAUAUUAAUUAGCUAAAAAUAAUGCCAAAUUUCGAAAACUUCAAUACAUUUUAUCCUUUUUGUAGAUCGAAUUUCAACCUGGCGAGCACCUGACUGAGAUCAAUGGCACCACCGGUCCAUAUAGCAACAUCGCCAAUUUGGUGAGGUCACUUACUUUCGUCACCAAUGUUAGCAAGUACGGGCCAUACGGAGCGGUGCAAGGAACUCCCUUCGUCAUUCCUGUUGCGAGUGGUCGGAUUGUUGCCUUUUAUGGACGCGCUGGCAUGAAUCUUGAUGCGAUCGGGACUUAUCUGAUGCCCAGCUAAUUAAUAUUCCAUUCUCAUGCUCAUCAUCUUCUCUGAGGACUAUGGGUUUUGGUUUAAUAUAUAUGCAAUAAAGUUGCCGAUAUAGUAUGGCCUCGCAUAUUAUUAUCCUGCAUAAAAAUUCAAUAAAUAAAAGUUGAUGAGCUACUUUGUUUGUGAGAGAAUGAUGAGUCUUUAAUUUGGAAUGUUUUGCAUCUUACUAUGGGAUAACAAAUUCGUUUAUAUUAUGGUUGUGUUGCAAACAUAUAAUUUUAUAUCCAAGUUACAUUUACUAAUCACUUCUAGCUAUUUAAUUAGCUGGGGCUUAAUUCGGAAACAUGGAGCAAUUGACCCACCCAAAAAAAAAAAAAAAAAGGAAAAUAAAAUUGCUGAUGCUUUUUUGUUACUUUAACGGUAUAAAAUAAUCUAAUUCUGAUGAAAUUUCUAUAGAAAUUUUUUUCACUAUUUAGAGUAAGAUCAAUAUCUCUGAUCUUAAAUUCAAGUCUUUUAUCAUCAUUUUUUAUGAGAUUUUUAUUUUCAGCCGUUCAUUUUUAGAUUACUUGUUUGAUAGUUAAAUGAUGCUGAAAAAUUAUGAAAUUUAGUUUCCAAAUACUUUUAAUAGUAUAGAUGAAGUCUAACGAAGCCGAUCGUCGAUUUGAAAGCCGCAUCAUCGAAAACAACUUGGUAGCACGGAGGCCUCCGUGCUACUGAUAGUAUACCAGCCUAGCUAUAUAUAUAUAUAUAGGGUCCGGCUACUAUACUAUUAUGAGUACGAUCGCUCUCGUACUCAUAAAUCGUUUUCGAUGAUAGAGCUUCCGAAUCGACGAUCCAUACCGUUAAACGUUAUUCACAGUAUUUAAAACUUCUAGAAAUCAAAUUUUAUAAUUUUUCGACAUCAUUUACCUUACGAUCAAGAGGUCACAAAUUUGACAAUUUUUAAUGGCCGGUAUGAGAUACUUGCUAGUUUAACGGUGUAAAGGAAUCGGAAUUUUCUGAAUUUUUGACAGAAAAUUCUAUUCAUUACCUAAAUAAAGAUCAAUAACUCCGAUCUUGAAUUGAAGGAUCCGAUCAUCAUUUUUUAGGAUGUUGUUCGAUUUUGACCGUUCAUUUUAUGCCCGCUUGAUGGACUUUAUUAUGAUUUCGAAAAUUUAUGAAAUUUAUUUUCUACUAGUUUCAAAUACUCUAGAUCAUAUUUAACGGAGUGAAUCGUCGAUUCGGAAGCUCCAUCAUCCAAAUCAACUUAUGAGUACGAGGGCUCCAAUACUCAUAAUAGUAUAGUAGCCACGGCCUCUGGCUACUAUAUAUAUAUAUAGUGGGCCCCCAAGGGUUGAGUGGGUGGUUGGUUGAAUAGUAUAAUCUAGUGAGUGAAAAUGAUUAAAGGGUAAAUCUAACGGUCAAAAAUUUAUGAGUACAAUAGGCUCUAUAUUCAUAAAAGUAUAGUAGCCGGACUCUCUCUCUCUCUCUCUCUCUCUCUCUCUCUCUCUCUCUCUCUCUAUAUAUAUAUAUAUAUAUAUACUAAUUAUAUAGAGUUGAGCUAGAAUACUAUCGAUAGCAAAACGGCUCGCGUUGUCACCCAUUUGUUUUCGAUGAUAGAGCCUCCAAAUCGACGAUCGGCACCGUUGAACAUGAUCUAUACCACUUGAAGUGUUUAGAAAUCAAAUUUCAAAUCUUUUCGAUAUCAUUUGCCUAAUGAUCAAGGGGUUUCAAAAUUUGUAAUUUUAAUAGUUGAUAUGAGGCGUUUUCUCGUUUAACGGAGUAAAGAUAUCCAAAUCAAUUGAAUUUUUGUUAGAAAAUUCUUUAAACUAUUUAAAACAAGAUCUAUACUCUUGAUCUUGAUUAACAAGACUCCUAUCAUCAUUUUUUAAAGAAUAUUCAUUUUCAGCCGUUCAUUUUUGUGUCCACUCGAUGGAUAAGAGAACACUAUCGAAAAUAUAUGAAAUUUGAUUUCUAAACACUUCAAUUGGUAUUGAUCAUGUUCAACGGUGCCGAUCGUCGAUUGGAGGCUCCAUCAUUGAAAACAAAUGAGUGCAACGGAGCUCAUUUGCUAUCGAUAGUAUUUUAAUUCAACUCUCUCUCUCUAAAUAUAUAUAUAUAUAUAUAUAUAUAAAUAUAUAUAUAUAUAUAUAUAUAUAUAUAUAUAUAUAUAGUGGGCAAUUUCAUCAGUGCCCAUGUCAAACUUGCAAAUUUCGUCAAUACCCCUCUAAACUUCAAAAUAUCACAAAUACCCCUUUAAACACAUAAAAUUAUCGUCAUUGCCCUUACCGUUAACGGUGCCUCACUCUACCUGGUUAAUAUGUAGUUAAAUAACAGUUAAAAUAUAUAAUGACGAAUUUACCCCCCAAAAAGUUAGGAUAAUAUUUUGGCGGAAUAACUAAUUAAUGCUAGAAAAAUACUCUCCACUUUUCCAAUGCCUGCACCAUCAGAUGGUUUCUUCUUCAACAAGAAACCUCCUCCUCAUCCCUUGCUCUCUCUCUAUCUAUUUUUUUGCUCUUCUUCAGCAAGAUUCUAUAAUUUCGGACAUGUUUGAGCUCCUUUUUCCCUUAAUCACAUUUUGAAGGAUUUAUAUUUGUAAGGAUAUGUGCUGGGUAAGAUCUAUUUGUUAUUGGUUUUAAUUCCAUUUUAAUAUCAUUGUUCUCUUUUAUUCUCACAUUAGCAUAAGAUCUUUACUAUAAGCUCAUGAACUUUUUUUUCA
rnacentral:lncRNA from 1 species